UUCUACCAAUGUGUGCUGCUUCAAUCAACCCAGCCAGAUCCUCAAGGCAAUCUCUCAGGAAUGAGAGACCCCUCAUUGGCCCGCUCAUCGCCAUCUAGUGACCAUCAUCCCCAACAAUCAUGAAAUAUCUCUGUGGCCUGUGCCCCCAUGCCAACCAUAACUCUCCUUUACUGCAGACAGCUCCAAUAAAGGAUUACAAUUACAAUUAAAGUAAUGAGCAAAGGGGGGGGAAAAAAGAGAAAAGUCCGAGGAUGGAUCCCCAGGCAAAUUAAAUUGCAGCACAGUUUGAAAGUGAGCACAGAGUAAGUCUUUUGGGUUAUUACUGGCUAACCACCCCUCAUUCCCUCAAUAAUUAACUUUCAAGUUUCAUAAUCAGGAACUGCAGAAUUGAAACAAAAGUGAAAUGCUGUCCCAAAAUGUCUACAGUGCCCAAUGGAUCAACCUCAUCUAUAAAUGAAUGCUCCUGAUGGGUCACUGAUACUUUCUGCUAUCGGUGUUAUUUUACACAAAUCCCUGUGAGGUGGAAGCUCAUUUUCAAAACCAACAUUUGAGCAACAGAUGUCUCCAUGCCUAGAGGGCAAGAGGAGGCCAGUGAUAUUUGGGGCGCACGGUGGAGCCCCAGCGGGCAGAGUAGGGCUGGGAGAGCAUCCCAUGGAGCCGGCAGUUUCCAUGCCAACACGCUGAGCGUUACAGUCACUGGUGGUAGAUCGCAGAAGGGUACCGCAAAACACCACUGGAGGGAAAGAUAUUUAACCUUUCACACACCUUUGAGGCAGAAAGCUCACCACAGAAGACUAAAAGGCAAACAAGAGAGCUGACAAACAUGGAUUCUGCGAGUCAAACAGCACUGGUUCUCUGACAGCCUGAGGUGUAGACUGUGAAGACAGAGAAUGGGGAAAAGACAAAGGAAAGGGAACAUGAAAAGAAGAGGAGAAGAGAAAAAGGAUGAAGGAAGGGAAAAGGCGAGAAGGAAUGGAAAGACAAAAGGGAAGAGGAAAACAAAAAGGUAAAGGGAAAGAAAGUAAAGAAAAUGAGAGACAAGUAUGAGGAAAAUGUAAAGGGGAAAAGAAAAGAAAUGGAAAAGGCAAAGAACAGAAAGUAAUUAGGCAAAAGAGAGAAAAGAGAAAUGUAAAGAGAAAAGGAAAUGACCAAGAAAAGAAAAGGGGAAAGAACAUAAAACAAAGAAUGGAAAAGGAAAUGAAAAGGGAAAAAAGGAGAGAAAAGAAAGAGAAAUUAAAUGGAAAAAAGAAAAGGAAAGGGCAAAGCAAAGGACAAAGUAUAGAAAAGGAAAAAGAAAGAAUAGGAAAAUGUAAAGGGAAAAGGAAAUGACAGGGUAAAGAAAAGGGGAAAGAACAGAACACAAAGGAAAUGAAAAGGGAAAAAAGAAGAGAGAAUGAAAGAAAAAUUAAAAGGGAAAAGAAAAGGAAAGCGCAAAGGCAAAGGCAAAGAACAGAAAGUACAGACAAGGAAAAAGAGAGAAAAGAAAAAUGUAAAGGGAAAUGUAAAGGGAAAGGGAAAAGAAAACACAGCAGAAGGGAAAUAAAAAGUGUAAAAGGGAAAUAAAAGAACACAAGGGAAAAGGGCCAAGGAAAUGAAAAAGAAAAAGACAAGAAAAUGACACUAAAAAGGAAAGGAAAAGGGAAAUAUAAAUGGACAAGAAAAUAAGUAAAAAUGUAAAUAAAAUAACACAAAAGGAAAGGAAAGGAAAUAAAAAAGAAAGAAAAAAAAAAA